UAUUACGGAACUAAAGAUGACAAGCAAAAUAAGCAUGGCCAUUUUGAGCUUUUUAAGUUUGAUUUUUAUCAUUCAAGGUAUGACAGUCAACCCAAACGAAUACGAUAAGUAUAAGAAGUGCUGGGCGUAUGCCACGUGCUCUUCAGAUGGGCCAGAAAGUGAAGAAAUGGAAAAUUGCUUCAAGAAAUUGAAACCCGAGGAAGUAAAAUCAGCCUACCAGUUCGUAAAUAAUAAUUAUUUCAAUUACAAAAGUGAUGACAUUCCAGGUGCAAUAAACGAAUUCUGCUCUUAUGAUGAUGCCACAAAGCGAGAGGCCUCUAACAAAACAUUAAAUGGUAUGCUGGACUUUGAGAAGAAAAUCUGUGAGAAUUCAGACAUGGCUGGCGAAUGUUCUCGUUGUAAAGAAUACUUUGACUGCUUCUUCAGUCAUUUGAAUCAAUACCAUCAACAGAAGAAGUGCUAGUUCCUCGCUCAUAUCAAAAGAAUGGUUUUCAAUGAAUGAUGAAAAAAAUGUACCUUGUUUCCAUAUAUAGUAAACCACUGAAUUUAAAAUUAUUUGUUCCUUCAUUGGAAUAUAAGGUGUCUUCUUGUAUUUUCCUUUGAAGAAAAAAUAAGUAGGACCACUUGGAGUGAUUCUUGGAAUACCCAAACAACUGUGGAUUUUUUUUAUUGAUGGCAAUGCGCCCAUGUCACCUGGUCACAGCUCUUCGCAAUUGGUUUGAAAAAUAUUCUGUACAAUUCCAUCGAAUGGACAAUUCAUCGACC